UUGAUGAAAGAUGAGCAUUUUCGCUCAAGAAUAACUAGUAAAGUAUAUGAUAAAAUGUGAGCAAUUUUGCCACAAGAAUAUCAAGAUAAAUAUAUAAUAUCAAUAUGGUAAAUGAGAAUGAUAAAGAAAUAAGGACAAUAGGGAUUCAUUGAAACCAAAACACCUCAUGUCAACUUAUUUCUUGAUCAUAUUUCAAAUACCUUAAGAACAAAUUCCAUGGUCGCGGAGAUAAAGCCGAACCACCCUCCGUUUUUUUGAACAGCGGCAUCACCAGAAGCAGCUGUAGUCGAAUCUGCUGCUGCGACGGUUGCGUCGGCGAGCGUGUAUAGAAUGGCUUCAGUUCUUGUAACAAUUUUGGUGAAGUGUGAAGUUGAUGUUGGUUGUGGUGCGAGAGAGAGAAGGAAGAAGAAUACGAAAUAAGUGUCUUCGCCAUGGAUAUAAAGGAAAUGAAGAAGAACACGCUUCAGCUUCUCAUCACAACCGAUAACGUCUAGAAAUGAGAAUGAGGGGAUAUUUCCAAAUUAUCCGUUAGAGUGUUACAUUUUUCAAUUGACUUUCAGAGUA